GCCGGGUGCAGAGGCCCAUGCCUUUGGUCCCAGCUACUCAAGAGGCUGAGGCUGGAUAAUUGCUUGAGCCCAAGGAUUCUAGGUGGCAGUGUGCUAUGCUAAUUAAGUGUCUGCACUUGAGUUUCGCAUCAAUAUGGUGACCUCCCAGGAGUUGAGUGCUGCCAGGUUGCCUAAAGACGGAUGAACCCCCCGGAAACUGAGCACAUUAAAACUCCUGCGCUGAUCAGCAGUGGGACGAUGCCUGUGAAUAGCCACUGCAUUCCCACUUGGACAACGUAGUGAGAUUCCAUCUCU
rnacentral:SRP_RNA from 1 species